UACGUAGGGGGGCAAGCGUUGUCCGGAUUUAUUGGGCGUAAAGCGCUCGCAGGUGGCCCGAUGCGUCGUGCGUGAAAGACCCCGGCUCAACUGGGGAGUGUCGUGCGAUACGGGCAGACUGGAGUACUGCAGGGGAGACUGGAAUUCCUGGUGUAGCGGUGGAAUGCGCAGAUACUCAGGAGGAACACCAAUUGCGAAGGCAGCUGCGCUGGGACGUUACUGACGCUGAGACGCGAAAGCGUGGGGAGCAAACAACGG
rnacentral:rRNA from 1 species